rnacentral:rRNA from 1 species
GGAAUAUUGGUCAAUGGGCGCAAGCCUGAACCAGCCAUGCCGCGUGAAGGAAUAAGGCCCUAUGGGUCGUAAACUUCUUUUGUGGUGGAGCAAUAAGGUGUACGUGUACACCGAUGAGAGUACAUCACGAAUAAGCAUCGGCUAACUCCGUGCCAGCAGCCGCGGUAAUACGGAGGAUGCAAGCGUUAUCCGGAUUUAUUGGGCGUAAAGCGAGCGCAGGCGGUUUUUUAAGUCUGAUGUGAAAGCCUUCGGCUUAACCGAAGAAGUGCAUCGGAAACUGGGAAACUUGAGUGCAGAAGAGGACAGUGGAACUCCAUGUGUAGCGGUGAAAUGCGUAGAUAUAUGGAAGAACACCAGUGGCGAAGGCGGCUGUCUGGUCUGUAACUGACGCUGAGGCUCGAAAGCAUGGGUAGCGAACA